AAAAAGACAUAAAGGCACAUCAAAGAGAAAUUUAAAUGAAGAAAGUUAAAUAGAUCAGAUGUUUGUGUGUUUAGCG
rnacentral:ribozyme from 13 species